CCAAUCGAACCCGGAGAUAGCUGGUUCUCCUCGAAAUAGCUUUAGGGCUAGCCUCAUGGAUCAUUGGUGGGGGUAGAGCACUGAAUGUGCGCGGGGGCCACAAAGCCUACCAAACGCUAUCAAACUUCGAAUACCAUACAAUGCAGACCAUGGGAGUCAGUCCGCGAGAGAUAAGUUCCGCGGGCAAAAGGGGAACACCCCAGAUCAACCGCUAAGGUCCCCAAGUUCACGUUAAGUGGAGAAGGAUGUGGAAUUGCACAGACAACCAGGAUGUUGGCUCAGAAGCAGCCACACAUUUAAAGAGUGCGUAAUAGCUCACUGGUCGAGUGAUUGUGCGCCGAAGAUGUCCGGGGCUAAACGUGACACCGAAGCGAUGGGUGCGUCUGAAGAAGAUGCGCGGUAGAGGAGCAAUGUGCAGAGGCAGAAGCCGUAUCGAGAGGCACGGUGGACACUGCACAAGAGAGAAUGCCGGUAUGAGUAGCGAGAGGCAUGCGAGAAACAUGCCCGUCGAAAGCCCAAGGUUUCCUGGGGAAGGUUCAUCCGCCCAGGGUAAGUCGGGGCCUAAGCCGAGGACGGAAGUCGUAGGCGAUGGACAGCAGGUGUAGAUUCCUGCACUACCGAUGGAAUGAAGCAGUGACACAGAAGGAUAACUCGAGCAGGGUGAUGGUCAACCCUGUGCAAGCAUCAAGGUUGGGUUGUAGUGAAGUACGCAACCCUAUAAGCUGAGAUGUGAUGCGGACCGAAAUUUCAGUAGGGAAGCGAGUGAGUUCACGCUGGCGAGAAAAGCUGCUAGUACAUCCAAAGGUACCCGUACCGGAAACCGACGCAGGUGGGCGAGGAGAGAAUCCUGAGACGAACGGGAGAACCCUUGUUAAGGAACUCGGCAAAAUGACCCCGUAACUUCGGGAUAAGGGGUGCCUGCGAGAGCAGGCCGCAGAGAAUAGUCACAAGCGACUGUUUAGCAAAAACACAGGUAUCUGCGAAAGCGAGAGCUGACGUAUAGGUGCUGACACCUGCCCGGUGCUGGAAGGUUAAGGGAACAUGUUAGAGCAAUCGAAGCAUCGAACCGAAGCCCCAGUAAACGGCGGCCGUAACUAUAACGGUCCUAAGGUAGCGAAAUUCCUUGUCGGGUAAGUUCCGACCCGCACGAAUGGUGUAACGACUUGUGAGCUGUCUCAACAGGGGGCCCGGUGAAAUUGAAGUAUGGGUGAAGAUGCCCAUUACCCGCGACUGGACGGAAAGACCCCGUAGAGCUUUACUGCAGCCUGAUAUUGAGUUUCGGUAACUGAUGCACAGGAUAGGUGGGAGUCUGAGAGACAUGGGUUUCGGCUCAUGAGGAGACGAUGUUGGGAUACCACUCUUCGGUUACUGAAAUUCUAACAUAGCUCUGUGAAACCAGAGGAUGGACAGUGUCAGGUGGACAGUUUGACUGGGGCGGUCGCCUCCGAAAGAGUAACGGAGGCGCCCAAAGGUACCCUCAGAAUGGAUGGAAACCAUUCGAAGAGCGCAAAGGCAGAAGGGUGCCUGACUGCGAGAGUGACAACUCGAGCAGAGACGAAAGUCGGGCUUAGUGAUCCGGCGGUAUUGAGUGGAAAAGCCGUCGCUUAACGGAUAAAAGCUACCUCGGGGAUAACAGGCUGAUCUCCCCCAAGAGUCCACAUCGACGGGGAGGUUUGGCACCUCGAUGUCGGCUCAUCGCAUCCUGGGGCUGUAUUCGGUCCCAAGGGUUUGGCUGUUCGCCAAUUAAAGCGGCACGCGAGCUGGGUUCAGAACGUCGUGAGACAGUUCGGUCCCUAUCCAUCGUGGGCGUAGGAGUCAUGAGAGGAGCUGUUCCUAGUACGAGAGGACCGGAAUGGACGCACCACUGGUGCAACUGUUGUCGUGCCAACGGCAUAGCAGGGAAGCGAAGUGCGGAUGGGAUAAACGCUGAAGGCAUCUAAGCGUGAAGCCCACCUCAAGAAUAAGACUCCACAAUAGACCCCUGGAGGACUACCAGGUAGAUAGGUCAUCGGUGGAAGCGCUGUAAGGCGUGUAGCUUGAUGAUACUAAUCGGUCGAAAGCUUCAUUUA
rnacentral:rRNA from 1 species